UCUCAUGGAUGAGCAAAGGAAGUGGUUUCUUCAGAUGGAAUCUAUUCCUCGUGAAAAUGCUGUGAA
rnacentral:pre_miRNA from 1 species